rnacentral:lncRNA from 1 species
GAUUCAACAUCUUUGUUUAGAGCCGCAUUGGACAGAGACAGAUUUGCCAGUGUAGUCGCUAACCUCCACUAAAGGAGAAAGCACCACAAGAAGAAGAAGUGAAUAUUAGUUAAAUAUUUUGGUUUUUUUGGGGUUUUUACUAUUGCAAUUUAUACUAUAUUAUAUGUUCUCUUGUAUUUGCUUAUUGGUGAAUCAUGUUACAUUUUUUUUACAUAACUUGAUAUAGCUGCAAAUAAGUAAUGUCUUUUAAAGCUAGUUAGUCAUGAUUGUUUUUUUUUUCUUCUUUUUGUUAAUUUUAUACUGUUAUAUAAGAAUUUUGAGUCGUCUUCUAAUACAUUAUUCCAUUUUUUUUGUCCUCUUUCUUCCUCCAUUUGAUGUUGUUUUCACUUACUUUGCUUUCUUCUUUCGUUAUUUUCUUUCGUCUUCUUUAUUUUUUAUAUUAAAAAAUUUUCAACACUUGAAAUUUUUUUUUCCGAGAUGGGGGGUGUGUAGCGUGCAAACCCGCUACUUUGUAGAAUUUAUUUUAAUGAGACCCACUCUGCAUUUAGAGGUCCUCCCAGGUAGCUGUUGUUUUUCAUUUUUAGCAAACAUUCAUUAGUCGUUCCAUCUAUACUCUUUUUGUGCACCCUGUAUAUACAUUUUCAAUUUUAAAAUGAAGUUAAUGAUGCCCGAUUUAAAUUAGAAAAAUUAUGUCCAUUCUCUCAAAUAGUAUUUUUUGACAAAAUAUUGUCAUUUUCAUUUUAAACCGUUUAAUUAUUUCCAGUAGUCGUUCUUUCUAAAUAUUUUAUUCCGAAGCAAAGUUAUUUAUCAAGCCAUUAAUUGUUUUGUAAUUUUAAAACGUUCAACUUUGCCAGUUUCAAUGUCAGUGUCUUUUUCGUUAUCAGCUAAUACUGACCUUCAAUUAAUUUCUUUUAGACUAAGUUUUCACUCUAAUGGCAUAUAACAUAUCCCACCAGAAUGAAAACACUUCUAAUUUCUUUUACUUUCAUAAAUACCAUGCUGAUGCCUUUCUGGUUCAUUUCUAUAAUAUCCGCCAAGUAGCAUCAAGUAACUACAGACCUAAUUGGCAUCCAGGAGAAGGGCGCGGCCCUGGCCUAAACACGUUCGUUUUGACCCAGAGCUUAGUAUGUUCCCCAGAUAAGUAACCACGUGAAUACCAGAACGAUACCAGGUACGAGAACCACUUCCUCGAGACAGUCACCUAUGGGUUCGACGAACUGUUAAUUAGCUCCGGAGGCAACCACCACACAUCAAGAUUCCACCUGACGCCUCCCGAAGAAAAUCUGGAGCUGUAGAUAACCUAGGACAGCACCGGAAGAAGCCUUCACACCACAAGUUAAGUCUUUAAUUGAAUCUUAUAUUUGCCUGUCAGCAGAGACAGUUUUUUUAUAUAAAGUAACUUCACAAUGACCAUAAUGUAGAUCCUGAAUUAUAACCAAUGAAAUUAGAAAAUAAAGCAUUUAUACCG